rnacentral:rRNA from 1 species
AUGAACGCUGGCGGCGUGCCUAAUACAUGCAAGUCGAGCGAACGGACGAGAAGCUUGCUUCUCUGAUGUUAGCGGCGGACGGGUGAGUAACACGUGGAUAACCUACCUAUAAGACUGGGAUAACUUCGGGAAACCGGAGCUAAUACCGGAUGAUAUUUUGAACCGCAUGGUUCAAAAGUGAAAGACGGUCUUGCUGUCACUUAUAGAUGGAUCCGCGCUGCAUUAGCUAGUUGGUAAGGUAACGGCUUACCAAGGCAACGAUGCAUAGCCGACCUGAGAGGGUGAUCGGCCACACUGGAACUGAGACACGGUCCAGACUCCUACGGGAGGCAGCAGUAGGGAAUCUUCCGCAAUGGGCGAAGGCCUGACGGAGCAACGCCGCGUGAGUGAUGAAGGUCUUCGGAUCGUAAAACUCUGUUAUCAGGGAAGAACAUAUGUGUAAGUAACUGUGCACAUCUUGACGGUACCUAAUCAGAAAGCCACGGCUAACUACGUG